UUGAUUGGAGUUUAAAAGAACGUAACAUUUACACUGUUGAGGUUUUGUAAAGGCAAACAAUCAAA
rnacentral:tRNA from 1 species